GCCCUAACUACUGCUAAACCAAAUCACGUGCCUUACCGUGACUCGAAGCUUACACGCAUACUUUAAGAUGCACUGGGUGGCAGCUCAAGAGCUGCAUUACUAUGCUGUUGUUCUCCUAGUUCGUCAAACGCACCAGAAAGUCUGUCUACCAUUCGCUUCGGAACCAGGCAUAUCCCUUGAACAUUGCACUUGCAUAAUUUUCGUACUAUUGCUGUGCUGCAGUUUAUCAUAGCUCUAUAUCAAUAUCUGUCCAGGACGAAGCUCAUAAAGACUCAACCCAAACUG